UGUUGGAAGUAUUACAAUAUGUCUCCCUUUCCCCCCAUUGGUAUGUGUUCUUUUUAAUUCAUGUACAUACUGUAUUGAACCUUGCUCACUUUCAUAUGUUAGUGCAUCCAUCUAUAAACUUAUAUGGAUCUACCUCAUGCAUUCUCUUGGCAUAUAGAAUUCCAUAAUGUGGCUGGUACAGUUCCCUAAUGAUAGCUCUUUAGACUAUAUCAUUUUUGUGUGCAAUUACCAACAUUCUUCUACAUACCUACGUGUGUACGUGUGCAAAUUUAUAUGUGGUGUAAAUGAAUAAAAAUAGAAUUGCUGGGUCAAAAGUUUUCCGAUUCAUUUUAAACAAAUGCCAGUUCUGAUGUUAAAUUUGAAUAGCAUUUAAAUGUAUUCUCUCUGCUCACUGCUAUUACAGUCUCCCAUGAAUAAGUCUUUGAACCAUGCCCUGCUGCAUAAGUCAUCAGGGAAAGCAGUUGUGUGUUACAUUUUUCCAGUUAUUGCUUAAAAUUCUAUUUUUGCUAGUUAAAAUAGUACCAGCUUUAAAACUAACCUCUUUGACUAAAGUAAAACCUGUUUACCAUUUUAAUGGAAAUGCACCAUUUAUGAAGUGAAAGUGAUUUGUAACCCCUGAGUCUGCCUGAUGCCCAGUUGGUGGCAGCAACUUUCAGCACCUCGCUAAUAUUUCCUCUAGUUAAAAGGCACUUUAAGCUCAUCAGUGUCGGUGUGCGCUGGCCUAAUCUCUCUUACAAACACUGCCUUCUUGUCUUUCCCUGAGGUGACAGGUGGCUACAGGAUUCGCCUUCAUGUUCUUGUCUUGAAUCUUUCAUUUCCCCAAAAUCUUCUCCUACCAUUGCUUCGGGGAAAGACUCAACAUUUAUUGAAGGCAGAUGCAGUCACAUGACAAAGGAAGCGUCAUUGUGGAAAUUGGAUUAAUCAGAAAAGACUUCAAAGUGAAAGUCUACCAGGGCUCAGCCAACUGUGGACCAAGCUUCCUGUUUUUUAUAAAUAAAGUUUUAUUGAAUCAAA